GUGUGCGCGCGGCCCGCGCACGUCACCGCCGAGGGCGGCCCUGUUGCCUUGGCGACAGUUUCCCGGCUCAGGGCCGCAACCAGCAGCUCCUCAUCGCGAGACCCGCCGGGCCGAGAAGCCCCGGCCAUGGCUUCGUCGGGGGCUGUGUCCGUCUCCGUGGGUGCGUCCGUCUCUGGGACAGAGGGGACGCUUGAGGCUGACAAGAUCUCUGGGAAGUCCGAGAACACCUAUAUUCUGCGGCCCGUUUUCCAGCAAAGGUUCAGACCCUCCGUGGUUAAAGACUGCAUCCAUGCUGUGCUCAAGGAGGAGCUGGCAACCGCUGAGUACUCCCCAGAAGAAACACCUCCGCUCACAAAGCGUCUAUCAGAAACGAUUAAAGAUAAAUUAAAAGCAAUGGGAUUUGACCGAUAUAAAAUGGUGGUGCAAGUAGUUAUUGGAGAACAAAGAGGUGAAGGAGUAUUCAUGGCUGCCCGCUGUUUCUGGGAUGCUGACACUGACAACUACAUUCAUGAUGUUUUUAUGAAUGACAGUUUGUUCUGUGUUGUAGCAGCAUUUGGCUGUUUCUACUAUUGAAAAUUUGAAAGCUGGGAAAAGUGAGAAAAGAUUCUUUUUCACUUUCUAUGACCGGUUAAAAGAAGAUGGAUGCACAGAAUUCAGCCAAAGUCAACACAAGAAAAAGGAGGAAAGAGGCACCUGGACCCAAUGGGGCAACAGAGGAAGAUGGGAUUACUUCCAAAAUGCCACGCUGUGCAGUUGUAAGGCUUACGGCAGCCAGCUCCUUUUUCUGAUGAAAUUGAAGUAGACUUUAAUAAGCCCUAUGUCAGGGUAAC